rnacentral:rRNA from 1 species
UACGAAGGGGGCUAGCGUUGCUCGGAAUUACUGGGCGUAAAGGGCGCGUAGGCGGCCUGGCAAGUCAAAGGUGAAAUCCCUCGGCCCAACCGAGGAACUGCCUUUGAAACUGCAAGGCUUGAGGCCGGGAGAGGGUAGCGGAAUUCCCAGUGUAGCGGUGAAAUGCGUAGAUAUUGGGAGGAACACCAGUGGCGAAGGCGGCUACCUGGACCGGUUCUGACGCUGAGGCGCGAAAGCGUGGGGAGCAAACAGG